rnacentral:lncRNA from 1 species
GGCAGGGGCGAUGGGUAGACGGUAGGGGAAGGCCAGUUGCUGCAGACGUUGUGGUGUUAAUAGUAUCAGUGUUUGUUGUGUUUUCACCUUUUCGUCCAUACCCUGUACCCCGCCCAUACCCUGUUUAUUAAAAAGGCAACAUGCUCUUCUGAGGUACUGGGUACGCUCCUGUACCGUACUGAUAUGAUUCUUUGGUGACACGCAAUUGGUAUGGCGUCCCCAAAUGCAUAGCAGUGGAAAAAGGUCUUAGGCAAAAUUUUAUGGGCAUCACCAAACUGGCUGUCACAAAUGUGUCGUACACCGUGUUAACGGUAUCGACCAACAGUAAAAGCCC